rnacentral:rRNA from 1 species
GAUGAACGCUGGCGGCGUGCUUAACACAUGCAAGUCGAACGGUGAACGAGGGAGCUUGCUCCCUCCGGAUCAGUGGCGAACGGGUGAGUAACACGUGAGCAAUCUGCCCUGGACUCUGGGAUAAGCGUUGGAAACGACGUCUAAUACCGGAUACGAGACGCGAAGGCAUCUUCAGCGUCUGGAGAGAACUUCGGUCCAGGAUGAGCUCGCGGCCUAUCAGGUAGUCGGUGAGGUAACGGCUCACCAAGCCUACGACGGGUAGCCGGCCUGAGAGGGUGACCGGCCACACUGGGACUGGGACACGGCCCAGACUCCUACGGGAGGCAGCAGUGGGGAAUAUUGCACAAUGGGCGCAAGCCUGAUGCAGCAACGCCGCGUGAGGGACGACGGCCUUCGGGUUGUAAACCUCUUUUAGCAGGGAAGAAGCGAAAGUGACGGUACCUGCAGAAAAAGCACCGGCUAACUACGUGCCAGCAGCCGCCGUAA